AACCGCAGCGUGAACAGGGGAGGACGCACCUAUUCCAGUUGCACAAUGCUGAGAGAGGAUAGGCGAAACCCUGGACCACCAACGGGAAAUUGGCAAUCUGUGGGAGGCUGUGAAUGGGCCGCUAUGGUUCGACAAUCCACAAACAGCUGGGGGUCGUGGAAACAGGGGCUACCAGGGUACAAAGCGACGCAUCAGUGGCCAACCAUGGGAAAGAGCUGUCAACACACUGGCCCAGCUGGCAGCGCACAAGGUUCCCACGGGACCCACAGUCGACUGAAGUGGAGAGUUAAGGAUGCUGAGGGAUGAUAAGGGAUACCGGCAGGAGCAGCCAAAUCUUGACUCUGAUGAACCUCUGUCGACAAGAUGAAUAGUUGGCCCUGGAUCAAAGGCAGACUCCAGCCGGCCAUUCUGACCACCACAAAGGGGCGUUGGGCUCUGGCGUGGGGCCAGGUGCUACACAUGGUCACAUGGGGACAAGCAGUGCAGAUGGGCCCUGCGGAGGCCUUGUCGCCCUCCACCCCCCAUGGCUGCAUA